rnacentral:rRNA from 1 species
AAGGGCACCACAAGAACGCGUGGAGCAUGUGGCUUAAUUUGACUCAACGCGGGAAAUCUUACCGGGUCCGGACACACUGAGGAUUGACAGAUAUAUUAAUUAUUAAUAAAUAUAUUUUAUUAAUAUUAGAAAGAUGCUAGUUCUUUCAUGAUUAUGUGAUAGGUGGUGCAUGGCCGUUCUUAGUUCGUGGAGUGAUCUGUCUGCUUAAUUGCGUUUCACUAAAGGUCUUAUAUAUUAUACAGUGUGUUGACACUUUGCAUUGACCCCUACUCAUUGAGUGGUUGCGUGUCUUUGUUAUACUGUCUCAUACUUAUUUAGGCCUUGAAAGCAACGAACGUGACCGCAACCUCUUGUUGCCUUAUACAAUAAAUAAUAUAUAUGUAUCUCUGCAUACAAUAUAUUAUUAAUAAAGGCUAUUUUAUUAUUAAACUAGAGGGACCGCUGUGAUCUUUUUUAAACCAGAGGAAGGUUGCGGCAAUAACAGGUCUGUGAUGCCCUUAGAUGUUCCGGGCUGCACACGUGCUACAAUGAUUAUUGCAGUGAGCAUCUCAUUUAUAUUAACAGCUGUCUUGUACGUGUAUUUUUAUUGUAUUUUUAUAAUAUUAAUAAUUAUUACAUUGUACACAGCUAAGCCUGCUUCGAGAGGUUAGCGGGUAACCAAUUAGAAGUAAUGAUUUCUAUUUAUUAUGCACAAUUAUAUGUGGCAUUUAUAUCCGGGUUAUAACUUUGCUAUAACUUUUGUGUGUAUAAAUGUAUUUUAUAUCCACAUGUGCAAUUAUUAAUUCAUGGUGGGGACAGACUAUUGUUAAUUGUUAGUCUCGGUCUUAACUAGGAAUGCCUUGUACGGGUCUUUGGUUCAACAAACCACCCGGAAUACGUCCCUGCCCUUUGUACACACCGCCCGUCGCUCUUACCGAUGAACUUCUCUGUGAGUCUAAUGGACUAAUUAUUAUUAUUUAAUAUAAUUAUAAUGGAAAAUUAUACGAACAGGGUGGUUUAAAGGAAAGAGAAGUCGAACAAGGC